GCGGGCGGAGAUGGCGUCCUGCGGCGGCGGCGGGCCGGGGCGCGCGACGCGCAUGCGCGGCGGUCAGCCUCCCGGCGCCAUUUUAUGUGAGGCGCUUUCCCAUUUUAGGCCGCGGCAGGGAGGCGGCGGGAGUGGUCGGCGGUUCUCCUGCGGGGGGUUGGGGCGGGGAGCCGCGGGGCUGAGCCCUGGCAGCGGACCCUCACGGAGGCGGCAGGCCUGGCGGCGAGCCCCUUCCAGUGCUCCGAGGAGGCAGCGCGAUGCUUCGUCUUCGUAGCCCCUCGAGUGAUGGCGGUGACGGUCGCUCCCGCUCGGCCGCGAUGGCGGAGCGCGCCCGGCCGGCCCCGGAAGUGAAGCGGUGACGGAGGGUCCCUCUGGCGGCGCUCGGCGGAACCGCUCGGGCCGGGAAGGCGCUGAGGCGGCUCGUUGGGCAUCAGCAGAAAAAUUCUGUCCAUCUGGGCGUAGCUGUUCUUGGCACAGGAAGUUCUUGGCACAUCGCUCAUCUAACUACUAUGAGCAAAAGGAUUAUGUUUUUCUGCAUAGUAAGUCAGCAGGAGAGGUGACUUGUUCUUUUAUGGCGUUUAAAGUACCUAAGAAUGUCAAGCUAAGCAGCACCCCGAGUAGCGUAAACAUUCACACACAACUUGGGCAUGAUGUGUGCUGUAAUGGAAUGAAAGAGCUGUACUCUUGGCAAGGCAGGGACUACUUCUAAUUUUGGUUUAAACUAACUUUUCAUUGAAACGUGAACUUCAGAACUCAGGGCUGCACUGUGAUACUGAAACACUGCAUGUCAGUGUUAAAUAUCUGAGCAUUAAAUCUACAUUGUCUGUAUCAGAUCCUUGCAGCUGUGCUUCUUCCUUCCCAGUGUGAUCUCUUAUAGGGAAAUGUUUGUCACGAGGGGGGGAAGAGCAGCAGAACUCCCUGUUGGAAACCACUCUGUCAUGAACCACUCUGUCAUCUUUACAAAACUAACAUUCAAUACUAAGUUAUGAGACAAACAUUCCUGAAAUAUUAACUACUGUAAUUCUUGUUCUAACAUGGAGCUCUGUGUGUAAUGAAAUACUGUGUUACUUUGUCAGGCUUCAGGAGUUCAGGAGACUUCAUGCUGCUUUUAUUUCCUGUUUCUAAUGUUUACUUCUGCCUCUUCAGACGUUCUUCCCCUUGCUGUUUCUAUUCUGCCAGUAAAUAUGGAAUCUGUUUCCAGUGGCUGAGCAAACAUCUGCAUGUAGAAUCUGCUUGCAUGGAGCUGCUGUUUCUGUACAAAUGAACAUCAGGUGUGUGCUUGCUAUGGAACUUUACUAUCUCACUCUGCAAUCUGCUCAUUGCAGUGUGUCAGGUGGUUGUGAAGUCUUUAGUACUCCAGUGUAAAGGGGGAAAAAACAACAAAACCCAAGAAAUGUGGAGUUGACAACAGAAAGUUUGGUCAGUAACAGUGCGAUUAUAAAAAUGAAAGGCUAAACCUUCCUUCCUACUCAGUGCUUUACUGCUGAGUCUCAGCAGUAAGUUCCUUUGUGUUAUUUAUUUAUAUAUAAAUAGAGGUAGCAAUAAAAAGUGUGUAUUUAAAAAGAAACAGAAACCAUCCCGCUUAGUGCUUACUUCCCCCAGCACUGUCAUCGUAUCCCAGUCCUUGUGUUCAGAAAAAUGGAUGCUGUUAUUGAACAUAACUGUGUGUGCUGCUUCUGGCACUUCCUGGAGUGUUGCUGGAGGAAGUGUAGCAACCCUUAAGAAACUGAAUUAGUGCGUUUUUCUUCCCUGAAUUUUACUAGUAGCUUCGUAAACCAGGUAUGGGUAUGUUUUGCAGCAGUGCAGUAAUGCAUAUUUAUAAUGUAGUGCUUUGCAUGAGGAGAACCAAGCUUCCCGUUAGCUCUGCACGUGACAGUAGUGCUCACUCUGCAGUUGCUUCUUCCACUAACACAAGUGAAAUGAUGCAUGCUUAGCUUGUCUGAGUAGCUCUUGGUGGUGGUUUUGGAGAACUCCAGGGAGGAGCAGUCCUCCUCGUACUGAAUAGAUGAUGUCCAAUCCAACUGCACUUCCUAACUACAGCUCUGUGUGCUUUAAGACAUGUGCAGGAACAGCAGGGCAUCAACUGAUCUGUUAUUAGCAGCCUCGUAUGAGAGAAGAGGUUUUAGUUCUCAGCUGAUAGAACUGCUGCUCUCAUCCUAGCCUGUGUUAGCCCAGGGGAGGUGUUUUGCCAUUUGCCAUGCCAUCUUUUAAUUCCAGCCAUAAAACAUUCUCUUUUUGUUAAGAUUGAUAUGGUAUUCUCACGGUUGGGCAUAAUGAGAGCUGUAUUCAAAGAGACUUAUUUUUAUUUUUCCUGGUAUGGAAUUUUCUGUUAUGAGAGCAGCUGUUGAAGGGUGCCCGUUGCUGGAGUUGACCAAACACUGGAUUUUAAAGCCAGUUUUUGCAUACUUUGUUGUGUGCUGUUAAAGCAUCUGAAUCUAAAAGUUUGCCUAGCAAAGGCUCUAAUUACAGAUCCCUUUAGUUUCCUGUAUUACUUGUCAUGACCACACAUUCCCCUUGAUGACAACAGUGAGGCUGUUACAACUAUACGAGGGAAGUGGGUGCAAACCUUUUGUCCUCGCUGUGCUGCUGGAAAGCAGCAGUGUGGGACUACAGAAGCUAUAGUUCAGUAUUUGCAGUUUCAGCGUGUGGUGAAAGAUUUUGACUGGUGUUAUCCUGCAGGAAACCUGUGAUACCAGAUCAGGUGUACACAUAGACUGAGUGGGUGUCCAAUGCUGUUCCUAUCUAAGGUGCUCACUGAUGCCAGUUGGAUAACUAAAACGAGUUGUUUCUUUUUUUGAGAAAGCAACUUCAGUUGGAUUAUUGUCUCAGUACUCGUGUUAGAAGAUCCAGAGCAGUGGGGUUUCUAUUGUGUUCUUAAGCUAAUGGUCUGAGUGAUUUCUGGUGGGCAACCUGUAGAGUCUUUGCUGAUGCUAAAUUAUGCUCGUAUCUUGGAAGGCUUUUUUUCCUUCAUAAUACUUCCUCUUGCAGAAGUAGCUACAUUUUAAAAGUAUGAAAGGCAAUGUAGAGCCACGUUUCCAUAUACACUGGAUUUCAGAGACACUGACAACUGGCUUGCUCAUUGGAUUUUUACUAAGGUGCGUAUUUCCCCAUUUGUAGAGAAAGAAAAUACUGUUCUAAUGGUGAUGCUGAGUCUUUGGACAUGGGUUGCCCACCAGCACAGCUGUCACUUUCAAGCUUGUCAGUGCUGAUAAGGUGUUAAUUAAUAUCAUGGAUGGUCAAGAGGUGCAGGUUGUAGAGCAGCAUCACCCAGCUGAAUGUGGGCAGAGACUGAGCCUGCUGAAAGCAGUGUGUGUACCACUAUUAGCAUGCAGCCCAGCACAAGGUAGCAAAACUACUUCUGCAAGCAAGGAUUUUCAGCAAAAGAAAACUUGUGAGGGCAGUAGUUACGUUCUUUCUUCUAGGGCUUUUACUUGUCUAAAUUACUUCAAUCACUUACAGUUAAUUUACUUUUCAGCCUCAGCCAACGAGACUGCAGUUCAUCAGUAUUGAUUAUUUUUGAAGGCAUUAAUGCCCUCAGUCUAAUGAUUUAAAUGUUAGUAGCUAUAAACAGCCACCGUUAGCAAGAACGUACAGCUUAGCUGGUGACUGCAUCCUAACUCUUUCCUACUUUUAAGCCUUCUUUUCAAACUUACUUUUUAUUUCUGUAUUUUGUUUGCUGGCUGUUAUUACAGGUAGUUAAUUCCCUGCCCACGUGGGAAGUAGCUGACCAGCUGGCACUGUUAGCAUCCAGGCUGUCAAUUAGUUGCAAGCCUGCACUGCUCCCAGGAGGUUUGUAUUUUCAGGGAUGUGGGUUUUUUUUCCUGUUAGGAGUUGCAGAUCAUCUGUGUGGUGCAGUACUGCUACAGCUGCACUGCAAACAGAGCCACUGUUAUAAGCUGUGUUCUAUCGAUUUCCAGAACGAAACAGCAAGUCUUCCUAGCAAGUUUUAACUGUUCUGAAUCAAUGAAAGGCAUCUUUUAUCAGGGGGCAGCAGUUUCUUCCUCGCAGGCAGCAAAACGGGGUGACAAACUGGUAUGGGAGUAUUGUUCCAACUCUAAUUUGGCUGGGGAAUGUAGUUGCUUGUUAAACUGACUCUCCUAUUGGAAACACAUGAAGCUAUGCUUUGAUUCCACUUCCCGACACAGUAUUUCAGAUUUCUGCUAUUCCUGGAACAUAUAGGAAUGAAUCUGGGGAAAAACAGCUUCCGAAAGUUGUGCUCUUUGUGGAGCACAGAUACACAGAGCACAACUUCAGCUCUCAUUCUAUGUAAGCACACUGCUGAAGUCAUCUAAUGUUGCUGGAACCUGUUAAUGUGUCUCAGUCUUGCCCCAAAUGACAGCAGCAGAUUCCUGCUUUUCUAAAGAUCUUGCAGAAAGGACAUGUUGUACUUUCAAUUUUUUUUUCUGGUUUUAAUGUAGGAAUUGCUGGGUUUUUUUGGUAGGUGUUUGGGAUGGAUCGGCUUCUGUGUGCAUUUACUACAACUUAACCUCCUGUUAGCAUAACCUGUGCUAAUCUGAGUGGUUUUUGGACUCGCAGGCUGUACAUGUCAUAAAAUGUGGUCUAAUUUUAUGCACAAGUAAACCACCCCAUAUUUGAUCUAAUCUUUUUAUUUGGCUUGUCUUACUAUGUCAAUUAAAAAGGUAUCUUUUGUGGGUAGUUCUUAGUUUACCUUUAGGAGAAACUUCAGGGGAUUUAACUUUUCCCUGUAUCUGCUGACAUGCAUGUGUUUGUAGUCCAAACUAUGCAAGGCUGCUGUCUGCUUUAUUCUAGUUGUCCAUUUUUGGUUUGCACAGCAAUCCUAAGAACCAUUUUUAAACAACAGCUUCAGAGUCCUUUAAUAGCUAGCAGUAUGCUGAAGAUGAAAGAGUGCUGCAUCUGGAAAUGAGAGACUUAGUUUGAGCUCAGUUGUAGAUCCUGUGUUCUCAAAUACUGUCAUGCAUUUACUAGCCAGACAGUAAGGCUCCACCCUUACCUUUUCUAUAGCCUGUUCCCUGCAACUCUGUGUCCUUGGAAAUAAGGGAUGGCAAGCUCAUCUAGUAGGGAAAGGUAGAGGCAGUAAAUGUCUCCAAAUAUCUGUCCUUUGUUAGGUAAAGGUAACUUCAUGCACGUAACUUGAAAAACUGGUGUGUGGAGUAAAAACUGGUCAUCCUUUUAGAGCUGUGCAACAGGAAUAGAAGGAGGGGGAACAAACAGUCUCUUUGCUGUGUUUUUGGUGGUGGUAUGCACUCAAAAUCCUAUUUUUUGAAAUUCUGCACUCUGGGGUUACAAUUAUCAUUCAACAAUAUAUGUUAAGCAGUUCACUGUUUUCUGUACCCUUCUCUUGUUAACAGUUAAAUCUUAAGGAAAAGCACCAAUAUGUGCAGUUAUAUCAAAGCCCCUUUCUUAGAGAUGACCAGGGCUGCACAGCCAAAUAGUAUCUCAAGUGUUAUUGCACCCACAUGGGCAGUGGAACUUGCAGAGAAGGGAGGCUUUUAACCUUAGGCCAUCAUGCUAUUUUUGGUGAUGAGAAGUGAUAAAUGACCUAUGCCUGGCAUUGCUCGGAUCUGCUUGGAAUUCAUUGUUUGAGCUGCUUCCUUUCUGAGUCAGCACCAACUACAGAUGAGUAGUAUUUAUUGUGGAGCUAUCCUUACAUCUAUCUGUCAUACCAGAAACCUUAUGUGUGUGUUACUUGUCAUAUUCUAACAGCUCAAUCUUAACAUAAUUUUAUCAGUAGUAACAUAACUUUGAAUGAAGAUAUUAUCCAAAAUCCUGUAAAAACAGUGCAGUCUGUGGAAAUGGAUUACUCUGAUGCUGCAGUUUAAAUGCGAUUUGUUUUUUGACCACUGCAAGUAGAGCUGCAAGUUCCCAAAGUAGUCAUGGAGACGAAUGUAAACUAGAUAUGGGAGUAUUGUUAGAUUUGUCACCUGAGGCUCACCUUAGUCCCCUUAAUUUUCUGGAACAACACCUCUGUGUGUGGACAUAGUGAGUAAAUAAUUGUAACAGGGAACGCGGCAUACCUGGCUGUACAUCACAUCAGAGCAGUGACUCAGCAGCUGCUGAGUAACUAUCAGCAGGUGAGCGAGACCUGGAGAGGAAGGAUUCCUCUACAUUCUACCCUUCUUUGUUGUUGGAUCUGUGUAUUUCUAAUCCUUUCUGUGGUGGAAGGAUGGCUUUAAGCUAAGAGGUAAACAAUUGUAUAGACCAGCUUUCUUCCAGUGUUCCAUUAGAGCAUGUACUUUGGGUCUCAAGCAAUGGUAUUUGCCUUUAAUACUUUGAAGUUUUAUUCCAGCACAGCAAGAACUACAGUUGUGCAUUCCAAGUGGGUAUGUGACUUUCUGUUCUAUUACGUAUUCCCAUAAAUGGCCAGAGCCCAGACUAAGUAGGUUACUUGUUAAGCCAGAAGCAAGAAAUGCUGCCAUGGUAAGGGCUAAUUAUGCCUUUCUGGUAUCUUCAAAACUAAAACCUCCCAGUACUCUUGGCAGAAAUAAUAAAAAUGAAUGUUAAGAAUCACCCCUUGCUGAAAUCAGAGAUUCAGAAACUUUCUGCCUUGCUAAGGGCAUGUUUGUUAUCCUUGCAAUAUACUUUUGCAUUUCAAUGUUAAACUCAACUUAAAAACAACCAUUUCCAGGCCAACCAUAGAAGCUCCCUUCUUCAGAGAAGGGCAUCCAAGCCCUAUUUCUGCAGGCAGGCACUGCUGGUUUAACUGGCUCUGGGAGCCUUUGGAGGCCACUCUUAGACUGCUGGUUUUGGUCUAUUGAGUUUAUCACUGAGCCUGCAACUGUUCCAAUCAGCUCUGAAUAGAGGCAUAGUCACCUGGUGUGUUAAAAGGUGGGAGUAUGUGGCUACUUUGCUUUAGGUAACAGCUCUUCCAGGCCUUCUGUGCUGCAGAGGCUGAAUGUGUGUACUUUCUCAGGCAUGCCCUGGGUGUGAAGCUGCAGGAGGCUGAUGGAAGCUUUCCGAUCAACAGCUGACCCAGUACCUCUGACACCUAGAUACUGUUUAAGCCUGAAGUGUAAGGAAGUAUCUAGAAUUACAGCUAGACUUGCCCUUCUCUCUUAACCCAGUAACAUAACUUGUAAGACUGUUACAUUUCCUGUACCCAGUCCUAAAUGGAAGGAUUAGAAAAGUGUAGCUGCUUUAGAAGGACAACUCCUUAUUGUCACUUAGCAGUUUAUCAGCAAGGUUUCGGUUUGGAAUCAAGGAGUCAUGUUGUUGCAUUAAAGCAAGUGGAAGAUCAGUCCUCAGCUUUAGGCUGCAAUUAGAUUACUAACUGGCUUUUACUGACUCAGUAGAGCUGAAUUGGCAAUAAGCUUCAGUAGUAAAUUCAGACUGAAUGCAACACAAAACUAAAGCCUGACUCAGGUACCAUUGCUAUACUGUUGCCUCAGGGGACAGCACUCAAGGAAGCUGUUCAUCAGUCAUGAUUAAUCUUACUUCAGGGAGGCCUGAUAGAGUUGUAGCAGUUUGACAGCUGUGCUUAGCUGGAAAGGCAAGAGUUCCAUGUGGCCUGACUCUAGCCCAGGCUUAAGCCUGAGUCAGUCAUUAAGCACUGACAGAGACCCAUUUAUCUCAAUUUCCUUUGCUUUGCCACCAAGAAGAAACAGAACCUGUAUCCUAUAAUCUCAUUAGGAAAGAGACUGCAGAAGUAUGGGAGCUUUUUUAAAAAGUAAAAAAAAACAUUAAAACUAAAGAGAGGGAGUGUUUUUUCUUUAAGGGCUGCUCAUUACUAAUAAUAUGCAUUACUAAAGCAAUUGGUUUGUUAAGAAAGCAUGCAGUUCAGACUAAAGAUGCCCAUUAGAAUUUUAGUUAUGUGCAAAGACCUCCAUUUUGAGUCUGAACUGACAGACAGAUGAGUUUGGUACCUCGAGUUUCAAGAUUUGUAAGUGAUUUAGGCUAAAUGCUGUCUGUUUUCCUAAGAGCUGUGAAAAGAAACCAUGAAAGAUUCUUUUUAGCUCCUAGGAAGGUCAGCAAUGGAUUCGGAACUGAUUUACAGAACUACAGCAGAGAAGCUGUUAGUAAAUGUAAAGCUGAGAUGUGUUAAGCUAUAUUACUGGAGUGAAAAACAGCAAAAAGUAAACAGUUCAGCUCUGCAAGUUAAUUCCAAGUAGUCCUUGUGUUACUUUUCAUUAAUCCUAUUCUGGGCUUAAUACUCCAAAUUAAAAGAGUUUUCCUGGAGGCUGGUUGAAGUUGUCAGCUGCAUGUAUCACACUAAGUUGUAAAGGAGCUGGCUAUCUACUCUGCCCAGAAUUGGAAACUACCACUGUGACAAGUGAGAAUAAGGACAGUGGCUGGUUAAUCCAGGAUCAGCUGUAAACAAGAGACCUGUCAGAGCCCUAAGCAGCUGGCUUGGCUGUGUCUAGCCUGGCUCAAAGCUUCUGCUGUAGUAAGCAGCAGCUACACCAGAAUGAUCACACCUUCAGUGACUGCUUUGAUAUAUAGUACAGUUUAGAAUACAGGUGCAUUCUUGAUAAUGUCAAUCCUACCUUAUUUUGAAAUAAAAGCUAACAGACAGUAAAAUGGAAAAUUUAUUAGUGCAAGUUGGUCACUCAGUUUUUUCCAGCAAGUACAGAGGAGAUCCCAUGGUUAAUACGCUAUAAACAAACCUGUACUAAGUCAAACUUGUCUUGAAGUAACAAUGUGUUACAUAUUUUCAUCAUCUGAUUCAUCUUCCUCUUUCAAAGACUCCUAUUUAGAAAAAAAAAGUUUAAUUAAAAAAGGGAGUUUUGCUGUAGUUUUACAACUUUCUCCACCUACACAAAGGCUGCUAUUCAGCAGGCCUGGUUUCUACUUCAGAAUUGAGAACUGGGCACCACUGCUGCUUUUAAAGCAAAUUAAAGCUGUCAGCUGCUGGAGGAGCAGCUUUUCCAGCUGGUUACCUUUAAAAAAGGUAUUUUAGUUAACAUGACUUACUGCAUUCCCCAUUCACUUACAUAACUAUUGAAGAGUUAAUACCUUUAUUUCUGAAGGAGAAAUGAGAGGUGGACAGGCCUGCUGCCAUGCCCUGUUUUAAAAGAAUGAACUAUCUCUGGAUUACAUGGAGAGACCUUCACAAUUCUCUCAGCAGGAGAUAUCCUAAGUACAAGUGAUUUGUGUAACUAUGCCUUUUCUAGUCACUGCAGUGCUACAAUCCUACUUCAUUCAUUCUAUUCCAGCCUUGUCAAGAGCAGCACUGAGAUGACACCAGUGAUGUCAGAACUUACCUUGGCGUAUUUUUCUGCUUCUUCCCUUAUGUCUUUGGGAACAAUUUCAUGUUUUCCAUUGGUUACUGCAAAUAAAGAGUACCUAUUAGUCAGAAUUCACACAACACUGUGUGAUAAGUAAAACUCUGCUUCUGCACAUUCUCUUAAAUACAGAAAAUGAGCAGCUUUUCAUACUGUUUACAGAAAACUUAGAAAUGCAUUACUUUCUCCAACCCAGCUGAGUUCCAACUCAAAAGCUUUAUCCUUUACUUCGUCAUGAACGAUGUAGAUUCUGGAAAGAAUGGAGAGGGUGGAGAUUAGAACAGAUUUGGUGACAGGCAAAGUACACUUUCUUCCUUUCACAGAUUUCUUACACGUAACUGAUCCUUUCCCCCUGUUUUCUCUUCAAUCUCUCCCUCUAUGUUCAUCUCCCUUUAUGUUCAUCCCAUUUCAAGAGAAAAAGACCAUAUCAGAGAAUAUUGUGGAGUUAAGCAUUACUAGAACAGUAUAUUGCAUGAUUACAGAUAAGAUGCAAGUUACCCAUGUAGGUGAGAUGGUGAGUAACCCUAUACAGAACAUCACCUUUACAAUAAGUGUUAUUUAAGAUUCCAGUACUGUGGAACCAAGGCUAUGUCAUCACUGCCUGCUUCUGCUGAAUUAGUCACAGCAUGGCAGGAACACCCUGCCUUUCCGUCAGUCUUAUUGCAGCUUAUACUUGAGGGUAAAUCUGAACACCAUAAUAUCUUCUAAUGUGCAACAUAGAGCUCUCCAUCCUGUCUGCUAUGCCUACAACAGCUUACAGCCUUCCUUGUGAGGGUGGUAUUCCUUCAAAAAGACUUAAGUUUAGCAUACAAAACUAUUUCUAGCCAGCAUAGGAAAUCUGGGGACAGUAGAAGGAAGGAUACCUUCACUGAAAAAGUGCUUUUCAUUCACAUUUGAUAAAGGCGUUGUGAAACAAAGUUAGCAAUGGUGUCUAAAGAAAUACUGUAUGCAUGCUCUGUCCCUGUUAAGACUAGACUUGAUCAUUAUCAAGUCCAUCUACAGGUCUUAGUUAAGUGCUAAGCUGUUCACAGGCUUUUCAGCAACAAUAUGAUUUCUUCAAGGGCUUGAAAUAGCUCUUGGCCAUUAUUUUAGGAUUAAGAAAUGAUUAAAACGUUUGGUAUCUUGCUGAGUGCCACUAGGUCUAGGGUUAACAUGUAAGAAAACAGAACUACCUCAAAUUACUGCUAAGUUUUGAGCUGAAGCAGAAUUGAAGAACGGAAGGUUUCAAAGCAUUGGAAGACUUGUGCCUCCUUUGUGCACUUUCAGAAGUGUUUUGAGGUCCUUGUUAGGUUUCAAGAACAGAGAGCCCACACAUUCUUUCCUUUAGUAGCAAACAUGAUAGCCUCUGACACAGACUCAUAAACAAACUUGCAUGCUGCAACACCAUUGAUGGAAACAUUUAUUACUUCUUUAUGACCUCUAAGGAACAGCCAUAAAAGGCUGGAGAUUAUUUCUGCAGCUGCAUAAUAUUAGAUCUGUGACAAGUGCAGAAGUAUCCCUGAAAGCAUUAAUUAUUGUAGAUAGCUAAAAGGAUACCUGUAUUUAUUUGAAGAGAUCAUAGAAUGCCUUGGGCUGGAAGGGACCUCAAGGAUCAUGAAGCUCCAACCCCCCGCUGCAGGCAGGGCCACCAACCUCCCCAUUUAAUACCAGCCCAGGCUGCCCAGGGCCCCAUCCAACCUGGCCUGGAACACCUCCAGGGAUGGACAGGGCAUCCACAGCCUCUCUGGGCAGCUGUUCCAGCACCUCACCACUCUCAGAGUAAAGAACUUCCCCCUGACAUCCAACCUAAAUCUUCCCUCCAAGUAUUUUUCAAGAUGAGUACCAGCCAAAUUAUAUUCUACAUUAGCAGAAGCCUUCCUGGUAUCUUUCCCCCCCUUUAAUAGUACACAACUUACUAAAUGAUGUGGUUUUGUCCUUAAGUACACUAUACUCAGAGUUCCAGUAAUGAAAAUCAACAUGCUGAAGACUUUCCCCCAUCUAUCUCUGGCUUUAUAUAUAUACUUGAAAACCAGUGACCCUAUUCAGACAGUUCAAGCAUUAAUUCACCACAGCUGUAAGUCACAGACAGAGCAGUUAAGAUUAUAAUGCUUAUUUUUUGCAUCUUUUGCCAUUUCUCAGUACUGAGUAGCGUGUCCCAUCUCACAAGACAAAUGUUAAUAGAACACCAUACUACAGCCAGCACGAGCACUCAUCUACAGAAGUGAAACCUGGUACCUAACGCAAAGGGAACAGUGUCAGUUUGAAGCCCUAACAAGCUCACCAGUACACAUUUUUGCUGAGUUGGAGAAACACAUUGGAGACUUACAUUUUCGCAACCUCUUUGACAACGUCACGGCAAGUCAUUUCCUUCAUCUGCACACAGAAAACAGAACAUCCUGUUUUGCAUUUGGCCAGCAAACAACGAGCUGGAGUGGAACAGAAUUCGUUCUCCACAAAAACAUACCUGUCAUUAUUGAUUAGACCAGCAUAUUUUACACCAAGCUUAGAGUAGAAUUCAUUAGCUCCAUAUAGUUUACCAUCUCAGAUUCUCAACCAGUUUUCAAAGCCAUAGCAUGGAAGUUAGUGGUGAAGGACAGCAGCUCUUUGUUCAUGCUGAGUCUGACAGCACUUCCUAUGUGUGUAAGGCACACAGCCAAGUAAGCGGUGGGCCAGAGGGAAAUGAAACCUGCCUGCUUAGGUAGAUGUGCUGUCGCAUUUGCAUCCCAAGAAGUUUCCUAAACAGACAGGGACACACUGUCACAGCCGUAACAUUUGUGACUCAAUCCGUAAUGCAGCACUGACUUCUAUUUACACGUAUAACUUGUGUCACACAAACACAACUAUGUGUAUUUACACACAUGAAGUUCAUAGUGGAAUAGGAAAACCCAAAGGUCUUUUACUGUCAUGCAUGUUUACAAAACAGAGCUUUAAUUAUAUUUUGUCAUUAUUCUUUUCCCAUCCUAGUUAAUUUUGCAGAAAGUAAUGGGAAAUACUGUAAUGGUUUAUCUCAGGAGUUAAUUACAAUUAUGUCCACAUAUCAAAGUUUUAGACAGUAUCUGAAAAUAACAUGAGAAGCACUGUAGAAGAGAUGAAAAGAUUCAUGUAUGCUCCGCAUGACAGAAAAUAUCCAGUGUUUGCAUAACAUGCAACAGAUGUGAUCAGUGCAGUGUACCCCAGUGGCAGUAUAAGCUACAUGUGCAGGUUUCACAUACUGCAUCCCCUCCCACAUACAGCAUCUGCGCUGCAGUACCUGUCAGACAGGUUUCAAGAUGAUAUUCUCACCUCUUUCUUUCCAUCUACAGUCAUCUUUCACAAGACAGAAUCACAGCUAAUAGGCUGCUAUAAGCCAUCACAGAAUCAGAGAAUCCUAGAAUGGCCUGGGUUGAAAAGGACCACAAUGCUCAUUGAGUUACAGCCUCCUGCCAUGAGCAGGGUCGCCAACCAGCAGACCAGGCUGCCCAGAGCCACAUCCAGCCUGGCCUUGAAUGCCUGCAGGGAUGGGGCAUCCACAGCCUCCUUGGGCAACCUGUUCAGUGCGUCACCACCCCCUGGGUAAAAAACUUCCUCCUCAUAUCCAACCUAAACCUCCCCUGUCUCAGUUCAAGACCACUCCCCCUUGUCCUGUCACUAUCCAGCCUCAUCAACAGUCAUCAUCACCCCACAAAUGCAUUUGCACUUCUUGUCUUCUUCCCAUUUACAUUUUGGCAUUUGGUCAGAAAUUCACCUGAACAAAAUCAACUCUGACCCAGAACCUGUCCAGCCCACAGUUAACAAGAAGCAUCAGCACACAAGACUGUGCUUGCUUCAUGCUGCUCUGACAUCACCACACCGAAGGCAUUCUGCAAGCAAGCCAUGACAGAUGUCAGUGCAGCUGUGCUGUAUGGCACACCCCUGUUCUCAUCUACUGAACUUUACAGGCUUUACUAUGAAGUUCAAGGACUACAAAUACUAUAGCUCUACAAAAAAAAUAGGCAAUAAAAAGUUUUUGGAAAUCCAAGAACUGCAGAGAAAACAUUUGUUGGUAAAUCAGAUCUUACUCAACACGGUAUCUUUAUGUCAAUUUGCACACAUGGAAACAGAAAUGAUGACUUCUCAAAUGCCAAGAUCCCAGUAUCAAGAUCAGGUGAUCUUGUAGGAUUCCUACUUUUCAUUUGGUGUUCAGGCAUCUGAUCAGAUUCAAGACUUAGAAUAUUCUAAGACUCAGUUAAUUUAACUUCUCCCAUGAUUUUUCAGUUGUGAUACCCCACCACCACCAACGGACUACCCUUAGAAGUCUACUGGAUGAACUGAGCCUUUCAGUGCACAGCUGUGGCAUACAUUUGUAGGUGAAAGCUGUAAGUAAGGUGCAAAGCAGAGUGUAAAGUAUGCUGGUACACAAAGCUCCCCCUUUUAAACACGUGUGCUUGCUAUGGACUACACAUUGCCCAGGGUCAAGAUGCCAGAAAUACUGCUACUACAGAGACAAAGACAACACAUAAGGAAAUACUUCUCUUUUUCUUGUACUUUAUGUAUUUAAGGCAUCCAAAAAGGUAACGUCAUAAUGUAGAAAUAUCUGUCCUGAAAGCAACACAAUAAAACUGAAACACCCUA